GACGAAGGUGGCAAGCGUUAUUCGGAUUUACUGGGCAUAAAGCGCGCGUAGGCGGCUUGGCAAGUCGGGGGUGAAAGCCCGCAGCUCAACUGCGGAACUGCCUUCGAUACUGCCGGGCUUGAGGGCGGGAGGGGUGAUUGGAACUCCAGGUGUAGCGGUGAAAUGCGUAGAUAUCUGGAGGAAUACCGGUGGCGAAGGCGGCAUCCUGGACCGAGAUUGACGCUGAGGAGCGAAAGCUAGGGGAGCAAACGGG
rnacentral:rRNA from 1 species